GAGAAUGCCGGUAUGAGUAACGAUUCGUAGUGAGAAUCUACGACGCCUAUUGGGGAAGGUUUCCUGGGCAAGGUUCGUCCACCCAGGGUUAGUCAGGACCUAAGGCGAGGCUGAAAAGCGUAGUCGAUGGACAACAGGUUAAUAUUCCUGUACUUUCUUUAAUUGUGAUGGAGUGACGGAGAAGGAUAAGCAUACCUAUUAUUGGAUUUAGGGGUAAGUAGUUACUGGUGAUUGUAGGCAAAUCCGCAAUCUAUAACUGGGAGCUAUGAUGCAUAGGACUUUUGUCUGAAUUUGCCAAUUCCAUGCUUCCUAGAAAAGUUUCUAAACUUAAUUUUAUUGAAACCUGUACCAAGAACGGACACACGUCCCCAAGAUGAGUAUUCUAAGGCGAGCGAGAAAACUAGUGUUAAGGAACUCUGCAAAAUGACCCCGUAAGUUCGCAAGAAGGGGCGCCUAUGGUAACACAUAGGCCACAGUAAAUUAUGAGGGGCAACUGUUUAUCAAAAACACAACUCUCUGCUAAACCGCAAGGUGAUGUAUAGGGGGUGAAGCCUGCCCAGUGCCCGAAGGUUAAGUGGAUGCGUUAGCUUAUGCGAAGCGUUGAAAUGAAGCCCGGGUGAACGGCGGCCGUAACUAUAACGGUCCUAAGGUAGCGAAAUUCCUUGUCGGCUAAAUACUGACCUGCACGAAAGGCAUAAUGAUCUCUCAACUGUCUCAACACUAGACUCGGUGAAAUUAUGGUCCCAGUGAAAACGCUGGGUUCCCGCAUCAAGACGAAAAGACCCCAUGGAGCUUUACUAUAACUUCGUAUUGGAAUUUGGCCUAACAUGUGUAGGAUAGGUGGGAGACUUUGAAGCUGAGACGCCAGUAGCAGUGGAGUCAACCUUGAAAUACCACCCUUGUUAUGUUGAAUUUCUAACUUACCAUCAUAAUCAGGUGGGAGGACAGUGCGUGGUGGGUAGUUUGACUGGGGCGGUCGCCUCCUAAAGAGUAACGGAGGCGUUCAAAGGUACACUCAGUACGGUCAGAAACCGUAUGUAGAGCGCAAAGGCAGAAGUGUGCUUGACUGUGAGACAUACAAGUCGAGCAGGUGCGAAAGCAGGACUUAGUGAUCCGGCUGUACAUUGUGGAAUGGCAGUCGCUCAACGGAUAAAAGUUACCCUGGGGAUAACAGGCUAAUCUUGCCCAAGAGAUCACAUCGACGGCAAGGUUUGGCACCUCGAUGUCGGCUCAUCGCAUCCUGGAGCUGGAGUCGGUUCCAAGGGUUGGGCUGUUCGCCCAUUAAAGCGGUACGCGAGCUGGGUUCAAAACGUCGUGAGACAGUUUGGUCCCUAUCUGAUGUGGGCGUUGGAAUAUUGAUGAGAGCCGCUCUUAGUACGAGAGGACCGGAGUGGACGUACCGCUGGUGUUCCAGUUGUUCCGCCAGGAGCAUGGCUGGGUAGCUAAGUACGGAAAGGAUAACCGCUGAAAGCAUCUAAGUGGGAAGCCUCCUCAGAGAUUAGUAUUCCCUUGAAAUUCCUUAUAGACUAUGAGGUUGAUAGGCUGGAUGUGUAAGCACAGUAAUGUGUUGAGCUGACCAGUACUAAUAAAUUGAAAGGUUUAAAAG
rnacentral:rRNA from 1 species